rnacentral:rRNA from 1 species
AUUGAACGCUGGCGGCAUGCUUUACACAUGCAAGUCGAACGGUAACAGGCCGCAAGGUGCUGACGAGUGGCGAACGGGUGAGUAAUGCAUCGGAACGUGCCCAGUCGUGGGGGAUAACUACUCGAAAGAGUAGCUAAUACCGCAUACGAUCUAUGGAUGAAAGCGGGGGACCGGAAGGCCUCGCGCGAUUGGAGCGGCCGAUGUCAGAUUAGUUAGUUGUUGGGGUAAAGGCUCACCAAGCCAACGAUCUGUAGCUGUUCUGAGAGGACGACCAGCCACACGGGGACUGAGACACGGACCAGACUCCUAAGGGAGGCAGCAGUGGGGAAUUUUGGACAAUGGGCGCAAGCAUGAUCCAGCAAUGCCGCGUGCAGGAAGAAGGCCUUCGGGUUGUAAACUGCUUUUGUACGGAACGAAACGGCUCUGGUUAAUACCCGGGGCUAAUGACGGUACCGGAAGAAUAAGCACCGGCUAACUACGUG